rnacentral:rRNA from 1 species
CUUUCUUUGCUGGCGACCGGCGCACGGGUGAGUAACACGUAUCCAACCUGCCCUUUACUCGGGAUAGCCUUUCGAAAGAAAGAUUAAUACCCGAUAGCAUAAUGAUUCCGCAUGGUUUCAUUAUUAAAGGAUUCCGGUAAAGGAUGGGGAUGCGUUCCAUUAGGUUGUUGGUGGGGUAACGGCCCACCAAGCCUUCGAUGGAUAGGGGUUCUGAGAGGAAGGUCCCCCACAUUGGAACUGAGACACGGUCCAA